UGUGUUUGCUGGUAUACCCUAAUUUGUGUGUUUUGUGUACACUUUUUGAAAUUGUUUGUAUAAUAUCGUAGGUUGUUUUUGAAAUACAAUCAUGUUAACAAUAGAAAUCCAUUUUCUAAUUUCUAUAUGUAUACAUUUGUACCACUAAACAUACAUGAUAAACUGUCAGGGCUGUUCUAGCAAAACAUAUGUAGUUUUGUGUUUGAAUGGUUUAACAAUAGUAAUAUUUGGGGGCUCUUUAUAGCUUGCUCUUUAGUGUGAGCCAAGGCUCCGUGUUGAAGGCCAUACUGUGAACUAUAAUGGUUUACUGUUUACAAAUUGUGACUUGACAGAGAGUUGUCUUAUAUCUAUAAAGGACUAAUGAUUGAGAGUGUUUGUAAACUGGAAAUGUAAAACGUAAAUCUAAAGUUCCCUCUGUAAGAAGUCCCCCUUUUUAAAUAUACAUUUUCUUGGUACCAUGGCUGUUUUAAAGGAAUAGCAGGAAUGAUUUGGAAGAUUUGAAAUAUGAAGUUUGUUAUUAUUUCUUUAAUUUAUUUAUAAGCCUAUAUAGAUUUAAAUAAAAUAUUUGCAGUGUUUUGUUGAAGAUUUUCAAUCUAUUAUCACUAAUUAAAAUUAAGCACCAUUGAUAACAAUCUUCUGUACUGUAUUUACCUGUACGAAACUAGGCCACAGUAAUCUUGGUUUGAAAAAAAUAAAAUCAUAUCAAAGGAUGUAGAAACACUUUUUGUUUUCUCUGCCAUACUUAAGUACAGUCAAAAUGCGAGUUGUUAUCACAAGAACAAAUUAAAGAGAUUUUAGUCUAGCAUCAUGUUUUCAGUAAUGUUAAAAAUAAUUUUGUUUGCACAUAAUGAUGUCAUAAAGUUGUUUAUAUUUUUUCUUGCUUUAAUUUGUAAUUUUAUAAUACUAACAACAUGUUAUUCAGGAGUAAUAUAUAUGUAGCUAGUUAUUGUAUUUGAUUUGAAUUGUUUAGAAUUGUUUAAAUAUGAUUGUUUUGUUUAUUUUAUUUUU
rnacentral:lncRNA from 1 species